rnacentral:rRNA from 1 species
CCUACGGGGGGCAGCAGUGAGGAAUAUUGGUCAAUGGACGAGAGUCUGAACCAGCCAAGUAGCGUGAAGGAUGACUGCCCUAUGGGUUGUAAACUUCUUUUAUAUGGGAAUAAAAUGUUCCACGUGUGGGAUUUUGUAUGUACCAUAUGAAUAAGGAUCGGCUAACUCCGUGCCAGCAGCCGCGGUAAUACGGAGGAUCCGAGCGUUAUCCGGAUUUAUUGGGUUUAAAGGGAGCGUAGGUGGAUUGUUAAGUCAGUUGUGAAAGUUUGCGGCUCAACCGUAAAAUUGCAGUUGAAACUGGCAGUCUUGAGGACAGUAGAGGUGGGCGGAAUUCGUGGUGUAGCGGUGAAAUGCUUAGAUAUCACGAAGAACUCCGAUUGCGAAGGCAGCUCACUGGACAUUAACUGACGCUGAGGCACGAAGGCCAGGGGAGCGAAAGGGAUUAGAUACCCUUGUAGUC